rnacentral:lncRNA from 1 species
CAGUGUGCCAGGGUCACUAGGACUCAGUUUUCAGUUCCAUAAAAGACUGUUACUCAUCCCAGGAUUGUCUAGGCAUCUUCAGAAGGCUCUAGAUAGAACAGUACUGAUUGAAGUCAUCAGAAGGAUAUUAGGCUGACCUGGACCUCUGGGGUCACAUCAGGUUUUACAAAACUCAGUGCGUGGACCACAUGGUUAGCAUGACCUUCCCUUGGUUCUACUGACCUCUUUUGAGGGUGUUUGCCCACUACUAAUUGAUGUAGCCCCCAUGCAUUGGGCUUUUAUGGAUAGAUGUAGAUCCGUGUUCUUUUUGAGAGAUGUGGACACUAAUUGGUGCUCAGGCCAAACAAACAAUUUAUUCUUCCCUGAAUUAACUCUUUGUGGUUCGUGCAGCAGCAUUAUGUGUAUCGAGAUGUAUUUUAUUAAGUCUUCAUGGGUAUCUGGGACCUGGUAGAGUUAGUGGGACUUGGGAGUAGGAAUGGGAGAAAGGGGCAGCAUGAUCUUACUCUGCAGACUGUAUUUCCAGAAACCUGCUCAGCCAGCUCCUGAUGGAGAACACAUGUAGGAAGAAGUUGGUCCCACUGAAGCAGGGGAGCAAGGAGGGACAUCUUGAGUGUGCACUGAACCAGACAUAUUUGGUUGACUUAAGCAAGAAAGAUAAAGACCAGCAACGUCCAGACCCAGCAUCAUCAGGUCUCAGAAAGUGCAAGAGAGCUAGAAUUGGACACACACCAGUAAGAGAGCUUCCUGAAGAAUAAGUUGCUUUCUCAGGAGUCCCUGAUGACAAACAUCCUGAACGAAAACACCACUUGAGAGACAACUUGGGGGACUGCCUUUCAUUAUGUGUGCUAGAGGAGAAACAGCAAUACAUCUGUGCUUCUAAAUGUUAAGAAUAUGCUGUUUAGAAAUAUUUUUGUUAUGAUUUUAAUUGAAGUUUUCUUUUUGUUGUUUCAUAUUUAUAUGUUCUUGUUACUAUUUUUCACUUUCAAAUAUUUUUACAUAUUUUUAUUUAUUCAUUUUAAUCCUGU